GAGCGAAUCAUGGGAGUUGCUCCCUAUAGAUGAGCGGCGGACCGGUGAGUAUCACGUGGGUAACCUGCCUGUAAGACUGGGAUAACUUCGGGAAACCGGAGCUAAUACCGGAUACGUUCUUUUCUCGCAUGAGAAGAGAUGGAAAGAUGGUUCUGCUAUCACUUACAGAUGGACCCGCGGCGCAUUAGCUAGUUGGUGAGGUAACGGCUCACCAAUGCGACGAUGCGUAGCCGACCUGAGAGGGUGAUCGGCCAUUCUGGGACUGAGACACGGCCCAGACUCCUACGGGAGGCAGCAGUAGGGAAUCUUCCGCAAUGGACGAAAGUCUGACGGGGCAACGCCGCGUGAGCGAAGAAUGCCUUCGGGUCGUAAAGCUCUGUUGUUAUGGAAGAACAAGUACGAGAGUAACUGCUCGUACCUUGACGGUACCUAACCAGAAAGCCACGGCUAACUACGUGCCAGCAGCCGCGGUAAU
rnacentral:rRNA from 1 species